GGCUCGCAGCACUGACAGCCUGGAUGGCCCAGGGGAAGGCUCAGUGCAGCCUCUGCCCCACACUGGGGGGCCUAGUGUGAAGGGGAAGCCAGGGAAAAGGUGAGAGGCUCUCGGCUCCUCGAGGUCCCUUCCCUCGGCUGGCUGACUGUGCCCAUUUCCACUAUGAGAAUGUUGACUUUGGCCAUAUUCAGCUCCUGCUGUCUCCAGAGCGUGAAGGCCCC